rnacentral:tRNA from 1 species
GAAGGUCUAGCUCAGAGGUAGAGUGCAUGCCUAGCGUGCAUGAGGUCCCAGGCUCAAUCCCUAGUACCUCCA